rnacentral:rRNA from 1 species
ACGUAGGGGGCGAACGUUGCUCGGAAUUACUGGGCGUAAAGGGUGCGUAGGUGGCUGAGCAAGUCGCUGAUGAAAUCCCGAGGCUCACCCUCGGAACUGUCAUCGAAACUGCUCAGCUUGAGGAAGGUUGAGGUAAACGGAAUUCCCGGUGGAGCGGUGAAAUGCGUAGAUAUCGGGAGGAACACCUGAGGCGAAGGCGGUUUACUGGGCCUUUCCUGACACUGAGGCACGAAAGCUAGGGGAGCAAACGGG